AUGAUAAGAGAUUUCUGGUGGGGAGAUGAGGACGCCCAUCGGAAGGUUCACUGGAUGUCGUGGGAAAGGAUGACAAGGCCUAAAAGGGCGGGAGGCAUUGGCUUCGGAGAUAUGAAUUUUUUCAACCAAGCGCUGCUGGCCAAGCAAGCGUGGAGGCUAAUUCAGAACCCAAACGGCCUAUGCGCGAGAGUCCUAAAAGCCAAAUACUUUCCGAAUGGUAAUAUCUUGGAUACAGUUUUCGCCUCGGAUGCAUCCCCCGUGUGGAGAGCUAUUGAAUUUGGACUGGAACUAUUGAAAAAAGGAAUUAUCUGGAGGGUUGGGAAUGGGUAGGACAUACAAAUUCAACGGGAUCGGUGGAUCCCUAGAAGAGAGGGCUUGAAGACGGCAUCAUUCAUUCGGAGGUCGCGCAUUCGGUGGGUUAGCCAGCUCAUGCACACAGACAGGAAAGAAUGGAACGAGAAUUUGAUCAGGCAACUCUUUUAUUCGUUUGAUGCGGACGAAAUCUGCAAGCUGAAUAUUCCGAGCUCGGACAUGAAGGAUUGUGUAGCUUGGCAUUAUGAGAAGAAUGGAGUCUUCUCGGUAAGGAGCGCGUAUAAACUUGCUAUGGCCAGCCUCCCGCAAAUGGCCCAAAACCCUUCAAGCUCGGCCAGAGAGCCAAAUGAUCGAAGUAUAUGGGACCUCAUUUGGAAGUCGAAUGUGCCUGGGAAAGUUCGUAUUUUUGGAUGGAGGGUGGCUACUAAUACGUUAGCCACAAAGAAAAACAAUUGGAAAAGAACAGUAGAAGUGGAUGCCACUUGCAAUAUCUGUGGAAAUGGAAUCGAGGAUGAGCAUCAUGCGGUGGUCAUGUGCACAAAAAGUAGGGCCCUCUGA
rnacentral:rRNA from 1 species